AUAGACUAUGGAUUUAGCUUCUCAAAUUUUAUAGGACUACUCUUUUCUAUCAAGAUCAAUAGAUCUUAUCUAGAUGUACAUGUCGCUAGCACAACUCAACCAACUGAAGCCAACAUCCACUAUAAAAAUUCAUAAUCGAGUUAAUGUUUAUGUGUAGUCAAACUAUAGCAAUCUUACUGUGAACAAUUGUGAUACCGUAGGUCAAAAGACCAGUCACACAACUAC
rnacentral:lncRNA from 1 species